rnacentral:rRNA from 1 species
UGACGAGUGGCGAACGGGUGAGUAACACGUGGAGACCUGCCCUAGGGUACGGGACAACAGUUAGAAAUGACUGCUAAUACCGUAUACGUCCUAAGGGAGAAAGAUUUAUUGCCCUAGGAGGGGUCCGCGUCGGAUUAGCUAGUUGGUAGGGUAAAGGCCUACCAAGGCGACGAUCCGUAGCUGGUCUUAGAGGACGAUCAGCCACACUGGGACUGAGACACGGCCCAGACUCC